rnacentral:rRNA from 1 species
UUCUGGCUCAGGAUGAACGCUAGCUACAGGCUUAACACAUGCAAGUCGAGGGGCAGCAUGAGAUUAGCUGCUAAUCUUGAUGGCGACCGGCGCACGGGUGAGUAACGCGUAUCCAACCUUCCCCCUACUCAGGCAUAGCCCGGUGAAAACCGGAUUAACUCCUGAUAGUUUCACUAGAUGGCAUCUGACGGUGAAUAAAGCUCAGCGGUAAGGGAUGGGGAUGCGUCUGAUUAGCUUGUUGGCGGGGUAACGGCCCACCAAGGCGACGAUCAGUAGGGGUUCUGAGAGGAAGGUCCCCCACAUUGGAACUGAGACACGGUCCAAACUCCUACGGGAGGCAGCAGUGAGGAAUAUUGGUCAAUGGGCGCGAGCCUGAACCAGCCAAGUAGCGUGCAAGGAUGACGGCCCUAUGGGUUGUAAACUGCUUUUGUGUGGGAAUAAAGUCAGGGACGUGUCCCUGUUUGCAUGUACCGCAAGAAUAAGGACCGGCUAAUUCCGUGCCAGCAGCAGC